AGGGAAUCUUCCGCAAUGGACGCAAGUCUGACGGAGCAACGCCGCGUGAGUGAAGAAGGUCUUCGGAUCGUAAAGCUCUGUUGUUAGAGAAGAACAGCGCAUAGAGUAACUGUUAUGCGUGUGACGGUAUCUAACCAGAAAGCCACGGCUAACUACGUGCCAGCAGCCGCGGUAAUACGUAGGUGGCGAGCGUUGUCCGGAUUUAUUGGGCGUAAAGGGAGUGUAGGCGGUCUUUUAAGUCUGAUGUGAAAGCCCACGGCUCAACCGUGGAGGGUCAUUGGAAACUGGGAGACUUGAGUGCAGAAGAGGAGAGCGGAAUUCCAUGUGUAGCGGUGAAAUGCGUAGAUAUAUGGAGGAACACCAGUGGCGAAGGCGGCUCUCUGGUCUGUAACUGACGCUGAGGCUCGAAAGCGUGGGGAGCAAACAGGAUUAGAUACCCUGGUAGUCCACGCCGUAAACGAUGAGUGCUAAGUGUUGGAGGGGUUCCACCCUUCAGUGCUGGAGUUAACGCAAUAAGCACUCCGCCUGGGGAGUACGGCCGCAAGGCUG
rnacentral:rRNA from 1 species